UACGGGGGGGGCAAGCGUUGUUCGGAAUUACUGGGCGUAAAGGGCUCGUAGGUGGCCAACUAAGUCAGACGUGAAAUCCCUCGGCUUAACCGGGGAACUGCGUCUGAUACUGGAUGGCUUGAGUUCGGGAGAGGGAUGCGGAAUUCCAGGUGUAGCGGUGAAAUGCGUAGAUAUCUGGAGGAACACCGGUGGCGAAGGCGGCAUUCUGGACCGGCAUUGACGCUGAGGCGCGAAAGCCAGGGGAGCAAACGGG
rnacentral:rRNA from 1 species